AAUAAGUUUUAGUGUUGCUUAUUAUAACUUAAUUGCAUUAUACACCAUCAAUGUAGUUAUGCAGUAUUAUAAAUGUCACAUGUAGUGAUUGUCCUGUUCAUUUUUUCCCCAGGAUUCCCAGGAACCCUGGCUGUGUGGUGGGAUUACAUCUUUGAGCAUUAUUAUUAUAAUUAUUAGUUGUAGUAGUACUUGCAUACUAUAGCUGUAAUAUUUUAAUCAACAUUAUUGAAUUAUUUCAUUUAUGCAUGAUAUAGUAUUAAUUUUAUGUUGUAGCAUUUUUAGAAAUGUCAUGCCAAUGAAAAUGUUAUCUUUGUCAUUAUUUCAUUCACAGGAACUUGCUCUGGAGUGAAGGUGAUGCUGCCUCCUUGUUGUUGUGAAUAGGAGUAGUGUUGAUGGUUAUAGAAGUAGCAAAAAGAACUUUGCCUCUGGCUGUGAGGGUUAGUUGUUUGUCAGCUGGAUGGAAAACCCCAUUUCUCUUGAUGUCAGAAUGUAUUAAAUAUCAACACGUUAUACAGGUAUUAAAGGUGCGAAUUUAUCCCGACUGAGCAAGCCACAGAGUGGUGACGGUGGCAAGGAAAAACUCCCGAAGAUGUAUUAAGAGGAAGAAACCUUGAGGGGAACCGGACUCGGAAGGGAACCCGUCCUCAUCUGGGUAACAACAGAUAAUGUGAAAGUUCAUUCCUGACUUAUAUGAAGUCUGUAUGGCCUUAGGAGCAGCCGUAGUCCCAGCAGUCUGGAAGUGGAGAUGAUUUGAGCUCCAUCCAGAGGCAGAAAGGAUCAGGAUCUCUAGUAUCUCCAUAAAAUCGUGUGUGGCUCGUCAGAAGGAGAGAGGGAGAGAAAAGGUUAUUAGGACUGGGAAUUAGUAUAAUAGAAAGUCUAGUCAGGGUAGGCUUGAGUAAACAAAUGCGUUAUAAGCCUAGACUUAAACACAGAGACUGUGUCUGAGUCCCGAACACUAAUAGGAAGACUGUUCCAUAACACUGGGGCUCUAUAAGAGAAACCUCUUCCCCCUGCUGUAGCCUUCACUAUCUGAGGUCCCGUCAAAUAGCCUGCAUCUUUUGACCUAAGUAGGCGUGGCGGAUCAUAGAAAACCAAAAGGUCGCUUAGAUAUUGUGGCGCGAGACCGUUUAGUGCUUUAUAGGCUAAUAAAAGUAUGUUAUAGUUAAUGCGAGAUUUUACUGGGAGCCAGUGCAGUGUUGAUAAUAUCGGUGUGAUUAUGGUCGUAUCUUCUAGUUCUAGUUAGGACUCUAGCAGCUGCAUUCUGGACUAACUGGAGUUUGUUUAUAUUUCUACUGGAACAUCCAGACAGUAAGGCAUUACAGUAAUCUAAUCUAGAGGUGACGAAUGCAUGAACUAGUAUUUCCUCAUCAUGUAGUGACAAUAUAUGUUUCUCGGCUUAUAUAUAUUUCUGAGAUGAAAGAAGGCGAUCCUAGUAAUAUCUACAUGAGCAUCAAAUGAUAGGCUGGAGUCAAUCACUCCAAGGUCUUUAACUGCUGCACAUGUUGAAACGAAGACCAUCCAGAGUAACCAUGUGAUCAGAAUGAUUAUUUCUAGCUACACGUGAUGCUAAUAAUAGUAUUUGUUUGAUCAGAAUUAAGUAAAAGGAAGUUAGUUGACCUCCAACGUCUAAUGUCCUUUACACAAUCCUCAACCUUACUAAGCUUCUGUCUGUCCUCUGGCUUCGCUGACGCAUGCAACUGUGUAUCAUCAGCAUAACAGUGGAAGUUAAUUCCAUGCUUACGAAUAAUUUGUACUAGGGGUAGUGUGUAUAUAUAAAGUAAAAAGUAGUGGGCCUAAAACAGAACCCUGCGGAACUCCAAAGGUAACCUCGGUAUGCGUGGGGAAGUCUUCAUUCACAUCUGCGAACUGAUAACGAUCUGUCAGAUAAGACCUGAGCCAGGAGAGGACUGUUCCCUUAAUGCCAACGUUUUCUAAUCUAUCACAACCUGGAAGACACAACCCUGAUCAGAGGCCAGUAGUAGGUCAUUUACUACUUCAACUAACGCUGUCUCUGUGCUAUGAUGAGGUCUAAAUCCUGACUGAUGUAUUUCAUGAGUGUUGUUUCUAUCCAAGUACGAGCAUAACUGCUUUGCUACAACCUUUUGUAAAAUCUUGGAGAGGAAGGGGAGAUUUGCUAUCGGUCUAUAGCUGGACAGUUGAGAGGGGUCAAGGUCAGGUUUUUUAAUCAGGGGUUUAAUAACUGCUAAUUUAAGUGAUUUGGGUACAUAGCCAGUGAAAAACACUGCAGGACUUUUUCUAGCUUGGCACGGAACUGUAUUCUUCCUUUUCAAAGUUCCAGCUUUUAUAGGAGUGCCACUUAAAAUAUCUUCGGAGGGUUUUUCCUGCUGCCAAAGUUUAGCUGGAACAGUCGAGUAAUCUUGGCAUUAAGUCUUUACUCCAUUCCAUGUUUGCCUUGUCCCGUCAAAGCGGCCUUCUCAUCUUCAGAACAUGCUGCUUUUUUAAAUAAAAUCUUUUCUAAGCUCAUUUGGAGAGAACCUGUCCUACGGGUGCAUCUUGAAGGAGAAAACCUCUCUCGAGUACGUCUGUCGGGGUAAGCUUGGACAAAUCUAGUCUUACGUCUUGAAGAAUAUUAUGUUCGGCCGUUUUAUUCAUGCGUGAUUGUGGGAAAAUAUCCUCGACUAUACACCAAUCAUGGGAAGACCCUGGAAGUAGAGUCUUCUCUCAUGGAGAUGCAGCAUGAUCCUAUUGCUUCUACUGAGAUCUCCAUAUCAACCCCCUGGGAGGUGUCUCUCUCCUUCUCCCUGAAAAAGAAAGCACAUGAGUAAAACUAAGACCACAGAGGGUUUCGAUUCUCUGGGUUACUUUGUUGUGGCCAUACAACAGAUGAGCUACUCGUGAUAGCCGACUGGUUAUAGUGUUCUAGAUCUCGGCGAUUUUUAGCACGAUCCGUUAGUCUUCUGGUUGCUUUAAGGUGUGAAGGUUCAGAUAGUCUGCCGUUUUUGGUAUAUCCUAAGACUUGAGAAAUACUCGUCAGGUUUCCUUCAAGUGCUUCAUACAAAAUGAGCGCUAGAUUUUCCCCUUUAAAAAUGAAAAGGUUCCUCAAGGGUUUGUCCAAUUAUUAAGGGUCGGUUUGUUCGAUUGAAGAAGGUAGAACGAGGCAGAGCAAGGAUGCUCCUUUCAUAUCACUAUCACUUCUGGGAACGGCAGCCAUGGAGACCACAUGAGCAGGCUCUCCUGCAAUUCUUCAGGGAGCUCCACAAGGUUGGUGACCUAUUUAUUUAUUUAUUUUUAUAUCUAUAACCAUAUGACUGAUUCUUUCCUGCUGGCUGAAGUCAUGGAGAUUUCUUCCACCUGCUUAAUUCCACAUGGAACGACUGAUCAGGUUUCCAGCCUACAGAAGCCUCUAGAGGUGUGUCUGUGCUUGUACGUGACCUGCUGAGUCGCCGUGGUUGUACAGGAAACGGGUGAUGUGAAAAAGGUUGUGAUGUAGUGUUGAAUCGUUUUUAUAUGAACCUUACUGUCCAUUUCAUUUCAGCUCUAACAGUCUUGCUGUUGCUUGUACGUCGGCCAUCUCCAUAAGGGAAAGUUUGCUCCUGGUAUGCAGCGAUUAGUACCUACGAAAAGUGGUCCAAGACUCUCGAGCGCUUGUGCGAUGUGAUGGCCAAACAAGUGAGAUGCAUGGAGGCCUCACCUCGCAACUUGGAGGACUUAAAAGAUUGUGUAGACUUCAGAGGUUUUGCCUCAAUGGUUAAUGGUAGGAGGACCUACACAAUAUUAGGCAGGUGAUUUUAAUGUUGUGGCUGAUUGGGGGUGUGUGGGGUUUUUGGGGGUAGUGUUUGUUUAAAUGCAUAUCUUUUUAUCUAAAUAUUUCACAAGAACGGGCACGACAGAGCGGUCCAUUUCUAUUGUUCUAGGCUCAGGUUCCUAAGCAUGAAAAAUAAAUGAUGGACGAAAGGUACGACUGAUCCUCACACCUCAUGCUAAUGCAGAUGAACAGGGAUGUAACCCAGUCGUUGAUCGCGUCACCUACUCCUUGUACAUCAGUGACUCAGCAGGUCACGUACACACAGAUCAAGCCAGGUCACACACGGGCAUCCUCUACAGGUUCCUGUAGGCUGGAAAAUCUGCUCACAUGAUGUCUGUAAGUUAGUGUCUAAUCUGAACACGGGAAAGGUUUUAAUUAAUCAAUUGCAAUUAAUUAAACACCGCAUCGUUAGCAGCAAAAGUCAUAACUACUUUAGAACCAGUUCACUUAAAUAUGGGCUACACAAGUGUGUGUCAGAGCCAGGACCGAGACAUGAAUACAAGAAGUGGUGUUCAGUCUUUUAUAAUAAAGGAUAACAGUACUGAAGCUCUUCCUGUGAUUUCGGGUAAGACUGCAGAGAAAUCAAGCUCCUGAAUGUUUCCGGAUUUGUGCAUAUGGACGUCCUCAUGGAUCCAGACCACAGGCUUUCAGUAGGGCGAAUAUCGUUAAGCUGACAUGGUCAUGGCUGUAAAUUGGUGUUGUUUUUAACCCUUUGUGUUCAUUCAGAAAUACGUUUGCUGCGUGAUCCUGGGGAAGCUCGAUACACAAGCGGCACAGUUUUUAUCCAAACCAGGUUGUGUUUUAUGCAUCUUUGGUGCGGCAUCAUGAUCUGUCUUUGGCCAAGUCUUAACCAGCUGGCAGAGGUACUAGAGUAAAAUAUACUGGACCCUCAGCUGCAGAACUUCCCCAAAGCAUCCAUUAUCCAUCACCAAAUUUUACAACUUGGCGAUGUACCAAUCUUCCCCACGAUCUCAGGAUGCCUGGAGGAUGCUGGAACCGAGGGUUUCUUUACUCCCACAGAGUUGCCGCCAAACCCCAGCAAUUGAAUUUAGGUGGGUCGGGGAGGAUGUCCUGUACUGCCUAAAGUAGGAGCCUGAUGACGUGUGGUUCUGCCUGCCAGAGAUCAGCCUGCUAGAUCUUCCUGCCCUCGACUUGUUCUCUUUUGGUCCAGGCACCUUGUGGUCUUAUCCCCUCCGCCCAGCUGGCUCUCGACUCUCCGAAAGCUGCUCGUUUCCUUUGAGGUGCGAAGGUUCCUAUCCCUGCUGGUUCUCUGGUGCGUGCUCCAGACACAUCACGACGCAGGUGUGACUUUGCUGCUGUAGCCGUGCUCUUCGCUUGCUAUCGCGUUACAGUGCCACUCUUGCUCCCGAGACUUGAAAGUUGCUCGCGGUGCAGUACUAAAGCAGCCCCUUCACUCGCGCACUUACUUACUCGCACGCACGCACACAACCUUGAACUCCUCCUUUAUGGACCAGCAUCAAGGACCUGGCUUUUGCAGGUUUGAAAGACACCCUGGCCCAUCCCCUCAGUUUUUCCAAUCCCUUAAUCUCUGCCCACUAGUAGGAACCCAAGAGACUCUGUUCAUGUGUGAAGGCAUGGCUGAGCGGUUGGGGAAUCGCUAACUUGGGACUGUUUAUGAUUUAUGGACUUGGGUCUGUGUACUGAUUUAUGACCCAUGUUUUUGUGUUAUCCGGGCCUGCUUUAUUAUGUUCAAAUGUUAUGAUUAACUGUUUUGUGAUGUUUGAGAUGUCGCAUGCUGUCAUCAAUGAACUACUCGGUGUGUGUCGUGGGUCUAUGGUGGAAGGGUGGAGCGGGGGUGUCUUGUAUGCACUCUGCUCUAAUAGCUGGUCAUGAUUCAUGUCUUGUGUUUAACUACGGGGUUAGUUUGUUGGGCGUAAGCUGGAGCGUCAUCUGUGUUGUAUGACAUUUUUUACAUCAAUUUGUGUAAAUUUUCAAGGUUUAUGUACUGAAGAAUUUGUCACGUGUGUGUAAAAUCACGUUUAUAAUUAUGUAAAAGCUUCUGUCUGUUUACUUAUCAGUGCCAUUGUGUUACGGUUGCUUCAUAUGAAAUAUUGUAACUUUUUAUUAAAAAUAAUAACCUCCCCUCCUUUCCUCCUCUUCUACCCCCUCCCUUAUUCCCCUCCUUUCUGCUCAACUUGUCUGUUGGUGUUUUUUGUUUUUUUUGGUCUUGUGAGUUCUUGCUCUACUCUAGCUUGUUUCUUUGGUACCAUAGAAGCUUUCUCUUUAUUUUUUUAUUUUCAAGUUGCAACUUGCAUUGGGUUUUUUUGUUUGUUCCUUCACCCUCAGGUCAUAAUCUAUCUAUACUAAAUAGAGAAAUAACACCACAUUCCUAAUUGAAUCACAACCCUGACUUUCAAAACACCUCUCACAAUCUUAAAAAAAAAAAGUUCUUUUUCAACUUCCAAGCAGCACAUCCAGCCUGUAUCAUUCUCAGUAUGGAGAAAUGUGUGUCCUGUCCAGGGGGAGUGAUUGUGUUUGAGGAAUACCUCUUGGUGUUUUUCCACUGUCUGGAUGCUUCUCACUGAUGGUCUACAGUCUCUCUUCCUUUCUGCCUCUCUGUGCAAAUAGGCACCAAAGGACAUCUUUACUCUGUGGUUCAAGACAAUAAUUUUUAUAGUUAUGGUGGUUCAAGUUCCAGGGCCUGUGUGAGAGGUGCUAUAUGUUUUUAAACUGCACUCACUGUUGUUUUGAGCAUGGUUGGACACUUCCUGAGGUGUUGUAUAUAUUUGCCAAUGAUUACAAGUUAAAGCUUAUGCAUUCAUGCUUGCUUGCAAGGAUGUGGUAUGUCUGUCAAAAAAAUUUGUUCUUGUUCAUGCUUGUGUUUUCAAGUUCUAUAGUUGUUUCAAGUCUGUCAGUCUGGCCUCUCCUGUGCCUUUUACACAGCACUGAUAUGACUCCUUUCAUAAAUGAUAAGGGAGACCUCAUCUGAAUAAAAAAAAUUUCUGUA